UGGGGAAUAUUGCACAAUGGGCGCUAGCCUGAUGCAGCCAUGCCGCGUGUAUGAAGAAGGCCUUCGGGUUGUAAAGUACUUUCAGUCGGGAGGAAGGUGGUAAGGUUAAUAACCUUAUCAAUUGACGUUACCGACAGAAGAAGCACCGGCUAACUCCGUGCCAGCAGCCGCGGUAAUACGGAGGGUGCAAGCGUUAAUCGGAAUUACUGGGCGUAAAGCGCACGCAGGCGGUUGAUUGAGUCAGAUGUGAAAUCCCCGGGCUUAACCCGGGAAUUGCAUCUGAUACUGGUCAGCUAGAGUCUUGUAGAGGGGGGUAGAAUUCCAUGUGUAGCGGUGAAAUGCGUAGAGAUGUGGAGGAAUACCGGUGGCGAAGGCGGCCCCCUGGACAAAGACUGACGCUCAGGUGCGAAAGCGUGGGGAGCAAACAGG
rnacentral:rRNA from 1 species